rnacentral:rRNA from 1 species
UACGGGGGGGGCAAGCGUUGUUCGGAAUUACUGGGCGUAAAGGGCUCGUAGGCGGCCAACUAAGUCGGACGUGAAAUCCCUCGGCUUAACCGGGGAACUGCGUCCGAUACUGGAUGGCUUGAGUUCGGGAGAGGGAUGCGGAAUUCCAGGUGUAGCGGUGAAAUGCGUAGAUAUCUGGAGGAACACCGGUGGCGAAGGCGGCAGCCUGGACCGACACUGACGCUGAGGAGCGAAAGCCAGGGGGGCAAACGGG